GACAGAGGAUGCAACGUUGCUCGGAAUUAUGUCGUGGGCGUAAAGCGGUCGUGUAAGGCGGUCUGGUAAAGUCGGACGUGAAAUCCCGGGGCUCAACCCCGGAAGUGACGCUCGAUACUGCCGGACUUGGGUUCUGAAGAGGAGAGCGGAAUUCCCGGUGUAGAGGUGAAAUUCGUAGAUAUCGGGAGGAACACCAGUGGCGAAGGCGGCUCUCUCGGGGCAGAUACCGACGCUGAGACGCGAAAGCGUGGGGAGCAAACAGG
rnacentral:rRNA from 1 species